AUCCAGCUAACUAGUCCAAAAUAGGACGAAAUUCGUGUCCUGAAU
rfam:Schistosoma curassoni strain Dakar, Senegal genome assembly, scaffold: SCTD_contig0003151